rnacentral:rRNA from 1 species
AUUGAACGCUGGCGGCAUGCCUAACACAUGCAAGUCGAACGGCAGCACAGCAGUAGCAAUACUGUGGGUGGCGACCGGCGUAAGGGUGCGUAACGCGUGAGCAACAUGCCCGCAACAGGCGGAUAGACCGUGGAAACGCGGCGUAAACCGCCAUAGGACCAGUAGCAGCAUUGCAACAGGUUGAAAUCUUCGGAGGUUGCGGAUUGGCUCGCGUAACAUUAGCUAGAUGGAGAGGUAACGGCUCACCAUGGCUACGAUGUUUAGGGGAACUGGAGAGGUUGACCCCCACACUGGAACUGAGACACGGCCCAGACUCCGUACGGAGGCAGCAGUGGGGGAUAUUGCACAAUGGGCGAAAGCCUGAUGCAGCAACGCCGCGUGAGGGAAGACGGUCUUCGGGAUUGUAAACCUUUAACUUUGGAAGAAGAAAGAAAUGACGGUAUCCAAAGGGGCAAGCCACGGCUAACUACGUGCCAGCAGCCGCGGUAAUCAA